AGCCUCGGAGGGGCGAAGCCACGUGCCGACGAGCAGUCAGAGAAGGCGCUGUGCGGCCACCUUUGUGACCGGAUGGCCAUUUGAGGUGCCACGAGGGAUGACAGCUGCAGGGUCAGUCUCUGGACCGAGCAGAUGAAGAAGAGGCACCGGGCAACUGCAGGAAGAUCCCAGUUAGCUGAUGUGCUAUGCGCAUAUUGUUUGUUGCGGAUGGUUUGAGAUCCCCGGCCGUCUGCGAGCUAAAUGCAGAGAGAGAGGAAGCGCACCAAAGAGCAGCACAGGAGGGGAGCAGAGCACCGUAAGGAGGUGCAAAGCUGGAUAUUGACCCCUUAGGAUACAGACACGGGAGGUGACU